AUACUUACCUGGCAGGGGAGAUACCGUGAUCACAAAGGUGGUUUUCUCAGGGCGAGACUUAUCCAUUGUACUACAGAUGUGCUGAUCCCUGCGAUUUCCCUAAAUGUGGGAAACUCGACUGCAUAAUUUGUGGUAGUGGGGGACUGCGUUCACGCUCUCCAAUA
ensembl:snRNA U1 U1 spliceosomal RNA